AUUGAACGCUGGCGGCAGGCCUAACACAUGCAAGUCGAACGCGCGGCGGACGGGUGAGUAAUGUCUGGGCAACUGCCCGAUGGAGGGGGAUAACUACUGGAAACGGUAGCUAAUACCGCAUACCAUCAGAUGUGCCCAGUUGGGAUUAGCUAGUAGGGGGGGUAACGGCCUACCAAGGCGACGAUCCGUAACUGGUCUGAGAGGAUGAACAGUCACACUGGAACAGGGACAGGGUCCAGACUCCUACGGGGGGCAGCAGUGGGGAAUAUUGGACAAGGGGCGAAAGCCUGAUCCAGCCAUGCCGCGUGUGUGAAGAAGGUCUUCGGAUUGUAAAGCACUUUGAGUUGAGGCGUUACCAACAGAAUAAGCACCGGCUAACUUCGUGCCAGCAGCCGCGGUAAUAC
rnacentral:rRNA from 1 species